GACGAACGCUGGCGGCGUGCUUAACACAUGCAAGUCGAGCGGUAAGGCCCUUUCGGGGGUACACGAGCGGCGAACGGGUGAGUAACACGUGGGUGACCUGCCCUCAGCUCUGGGAUAAGCCUGGGAAACUGGGGUCUAAUACUGGAUAUGACUCCACGGUGCAUGUCGUGGGGUGGAAAGCCUUGUGCGGCUGAGGAUGGGCCCGCGGCCCAUCAGCUUGUUGGNGGGGUGANGGCCUACCAAGGCGACGACGGGUAGCCGGCCUGAGAGGGCGACCGGCCACACUGGGACUGAGACACGGCCCAGACUCCUACGGGAGGCAGCAGUGGGGAAUCUUGCGCAAUGGGCGAAAGCCUGACGCAGCGACGCCGCGUGAGGGAUGACGGCCU
rnacentral:rRNA from 1 species